rnacentral:rRNA from 1 species
CCCCGCACAAGCAGCGGAGCGUGUGGUUUAAUCGAUGCUACACGAAGAACCUUACCAGGGUUUGACAUACAAGUAGUAGGGAAAGGAAACUGGACCGACCCUUCGGGGAGCUUGAACAGGUGCUGCAUGGCUGUCGUCAGCUCGUGUCGUGAGAUGUUCGGUUAAGUCCGCUAACGAGCGCAACCCUCGCUGUGUGUUACAAGUGUCACACGGAACUGCCGGUCAUAAACCGGAGGAAGGUGGGGAUGACGUCAAGUCCUCAUGGCCUUUAUGACCAGGGCUACACACGUACUACAAUGGCCGAUACAAAGGGCAGCGACACUGCGAGGUGAAGCCAAUCCCGUAAAAUCGGUCUCAGUCCGGAUUGGAGUCUGCAACUCGACUCCAUGAAGUUGGAAUCGCUAGUAAUCGUGGAUCAGCAUGCCACGGUGAAUACGUUCCCGGGCCUU